CGUGCAGGCGGUCGGGCAAGUCAGAUGUGAAAGCCUUUCGCUUAACGAGAGAAGUGCAUUUGAAACUGCUCGGCUAGAGUACGGGAGAGGAGAGUGGAAUUCCCGGUGUAGAGGUGAAAUUCGUAGAUAUCGGGAGGAACACCAGUGGCGAAGGCGGCUCUCUGGUCCGAUACUGACGCUGAGACGCGAAAGCGUGGGGAGCAAACAGGAUUAGAUACCCUGGUAGUCCACGCCGUAAACGAUGGGCACUAGGUGUAGGAGGUAUUGACCCCUUCUGUGCCGAGCUAACGCAUUAAGUGCCCCGCCUGGGGGAGUACGGCCGGCAACGGACUAAA
rnacentral:rRNA from 1 species